ensembl:lncRNA
AGGGAGAGAAUAAUUGAGGAUGAGGACACAGAGGUCACAGGAGCAAAGGGGGAGGGGAUGGUAGAUCUUGCAGAGGCUUUUCUUUAUUAAAAUUGUUAUUUUUAAAUUUAUUUUUGAGUGCGCUGGGUCUUCAUUGCUGCCCCACAGGGUUUCUCUAGUUGUGGCAAGCAGGGGCUACUUCCGCAGGGCUUGAGCUCUUGAGUGCAGGCUCAGCAGUUUGUGGCACAUGAGCUUCGUUGCCCCAAGGCAGGUGAAAUCUUUCCAGACCAGGGACCAAACUUGUGUCCCCUGCAUAGGCAGGUGGAUUCUUAACCAGGGAAGCCUGUGCAAAGGCUUUUCUCAGAGUGAAAAAGAGUGGCAUGAUCUGACAUGUUCUAACAGAAUCCCUCUGGCACCCUCUGUAUGGAGCAAGAGUGAAGCCAGGAGAACAGACGGCUCCCCAGUUAUCUGGGCAGAGAUGAUGGUGGCCCAGUCAGCGGGGAGCAGUGGAGCUGGAGAGCGUGGUAAAAGGUCACACACACACACACAGCCCUGCGUGCUGUUUCAUAACUAAACCAACUGGUCAGUCUAAUUAUCCACGCCUCCCCCCUGUCCAGGUGGCCCACACUCUCAACCUGAACUCUUUUCUCUACGUCCAGAUCUGUCUCGUCUUUCAUCUCCAACUGCCUCUAGCCACACUGCCCUGAGAUGACUGCUGCUUCCCCAAACUCAGAACAUCUAGGACACCCCCUCCUGUCUGCCACCAAUGCAGGCUGCCCUCUGCUCUUCUCGGUUUCCAGUGACGGACCCCCCUUCUCCCCAUCCUCCAGCAGAAAGCCCAGGGAUGUGUUUAGCAUCUUACUUCCCCUGGUCCUCACAUCCAUCCUUCCAGCAAGAUCUCACAGGCAUGGUCAGGCCCUGCUGGAUUCUCUCAUCUGCUUCUGUUCCUUCUUUCCCACUCCUACGGGCCUUACCUCUGAACCCUGCCGUGUCUGCAUUUGGGGUAGCCUGGUGGCCAAGGCAAGGGCUCUGGAGCAGGACUCUCUGGGUUUGAAUCCUGGCUUUGACAACUUUGAACUAUGUAAAUGUGGGCUGUUUCUUGAAUUUCUCUGUACCUCAGUUUCUCCAUUUAUGAAAUGGGUAUGAUUACACUUACUUCAGAGUGUUAUUGUGAGAGUUAAAGUGAGUUGUUACAUAGAAGACGCUUGGAACAGAGCCUGGCAUGUGCUUAGCACACAAUCAAUGUUAGCUCUCAUUUUUAUUCUUUUAGCAAUAAGUCUUUAUUGAGUGUCUAUUACGUGCAGAGACCUCCAUCAUGCUCAGAGAUAAUCUGACCCAGAAGAAACAGCAUAGGCCUUGAGCCAGCAAUUCUAUUCCUAGAUGCGUACCCAACAGAAAUGUUGGCCAAUAUCCACCAGAAAACAUGUACUAGAAUGUUCACAAUGCCUUAUUCAUAGAAGCCUCAAACUAGAAACUACCCAAAUGCCCGUCGAGGGUAGGAUGGAUAAAUAACAUGUGCUCUAUUCGCAUGAUGGAAUCUUCUACAGUGACAAGAAAGAAGGCACUACCCUUACUUGAAUAUCAUGGAUGCAAUUAAUAUGAUGGGGCAUGGCUGGGCUGGGUCCCUCCUAACUCUGGCUUCAGUGGGGGUGGCCUGAGUUUCACCUGGUGACCUCUGUUCCCAGCACCAUCCCUCUUCACAAACAAGAAGAUCCCCAGUCUUUGCCUUCACAUCAGUCCCUAACUUGCAAAGCAUCACUGAGGCAGGAUGAUGACAAUAGCUUAUUUUCAGGUGAACAUAAAGGAAUCACCCAACAUUCACAGCAUGUGAUGGGCACUCACUCAACGCAAUGAUGCUGUAGGGUGGGUAUUACUACUUAUGCCCAUUUUACAGAUGAAAAAAGCCAAAGCACUAAGAGGUCGAGUCAAUGUAAUGAUAGCUAAAAUUUUCAUUUAAAUCAC